rnacentral:tRNA from 1 species
UGGAUUUGUGGCGCAAUGGUAGCGCGUCUGACUCCAGAUCAUAAGGUUGCGUGUUCGAUUCACGUCAGGUUCAAUUAUCUCUUUACGUC